rnacentral:rRNA from 1 species
CAUCUAGAGUGUUCCCGCAGGCAGAUCCAUUUUCUGCCACCGAAUACAUUAGCAUGGGAUAAUGGAAUAGGACCCUGUCCUCCUAUUUUCAGUUGGUUUUGGCAGCGCGAGGACUAGGGUAAUGAUUAAUAGGGAUAGUUGGGGGCAUUAAUAUUUAAUUGUCAGAGGUGAAAUUCUUGGAUUUAUGAAAGAUUAACUUCUGCGAAAGCAUCUGCCAAGGAUGUUUUCAUUAAUCAAGAACGAAAGUUAGGGGAUCGAAGACGAUCAGAUACCGUCGUAGUCUUAACCAUAAACGAUGCCGACCAGCGAUUAGGAGACGUUGAAUACAAAACACCACCAUCGGCGCGGUCGUCCUUGGCGUCUCGGUCCUUCACGGGGCCGGGGCGCGGGGGCGGCUUAGCCCGGUGGCACCGGUGAAUGACUCCCCUACCGACCUUGGUGAGAA